CAGCCGUAAACAAUGUGCGUUAGGUGUGUCGGUAACCACGCGUUACUGAUGCGCCGAAGAGAAAUCGUGAAACGCACCACCUGGGAAGUACGGUCGCAGGCUGAAACUUAAAGGAAUUGGCGGGGGAGCACCACAACAGGUGGAGCCUGCGGUUUAAUUGGAUUCAACGCCGGACAUCUCACCGGAUAAGACAGCUGAAUGAUUCGUCAAUCGUGAAGGUUUUACAUACGACUAGCUGAGAGGAGGUGCAUGGCGUCAGUGACU
rnacentral:rRNA from 1 species